GCUUUCGGAGAUCAACACGCAAGCCGCUAUCUCAAGUAGUAAGGCCGACACAGCGGCAAAAUAAGUGCGCAUGAUCGGCGGAUUUUGCGCUUUCGAGGAGCGAUUAGUGACUCCAGCGUGGGUGAAGUUUGCCGAAGAACGAACAGAACAUCGUUUUACACUUUUUGGGACUGAUAUUGAUGUGAUCCGACCGGAAAUUUUUUUAAUGGAGUUUGUUCUUAUGGAAAAAUCUGAAGGUGUUACCUGAAGUUGAUGAAAGUAACCGUACACAAAUUCACCGUCGCAGAUAGCUUUGACUUCAGCCAGUCUAAUAGUUCUUCAAUGUCACUGCGUUGAGACUGUGCAAGUAAGGUGCCUUUUGGCUGUCAGCACAGUUUUUUCCACAACUUCCUCAUGGUUGUUUUGCCUGCUGCUGUUUAAACAUGUCAUUCAUACAUAUUCCACUGCUAAGGCCCAAGACUCUCCCUGCAGUCUGUGCAGACCUGGUUAACCAUGAAUAUCAAGGAACAUUUCAGCUUAUUUCUGGAGCUGUGAUGUUUUCAGGGAUCUAAGGGAAAUUGUAUAUUAUCCUGUUAUCAUACUCAAGAACAAAGGUUGUUUUUUUACCAGUGACUGCUGACACUGUCAGAAUAAAGCUGACAUGGAAAUUUUGUAAAUUAUAUGAAAUGUAAUAAUUUUUUAUUCUUCUAAUGGCAAAACGU